rnacentral:ncRNA from 2 species
GAGGGUAGGUCCCUCGGAGCCGGCCGUCAGGGGCAGGCUCCAAACCACCGCAAGCUGCGACGGUAAAGAGCCGUGGUGGUGAGCGUUGCGGAAAAGGCGGGACUUGAUCCCGUCAGGU